rnacentral:rRNA from 1 species
AGCGAACGCUGGCGGCAGGCCUAACACAUGCAAGUCGAACGGAUCCUUCGGGAUUAGUGGCGGACGGGUGAGUAACACGUGGGAACGUGCCCUUUGGUUCGGAACAACUCAGGGAAACUUGAGCUAAUACCGGAUGUGCCCUUCGGGGGAAAGAUUUAUCGCCAUUGGAGCGGCCCGCGUCUGAUUAGCUAGUUGGGGAGGUAAAGGCUCACCAAGGCGACGAACAGUAGCUGGUCUGAGAGGAUGAUCAGCCACAUUGGGACUGAGACACGGCCCAAACUCCUACGGGAGGCAGCAGUGGGGAAUCUUGCGCAAUGGGCGAAAGCCUGACGCAGCCAUGCCGCGUGAAUGAUGAAGGUCUUAGGAUUGUAAAAUUCUUUCACCGGGGACGAUAAUGACGGUACCCGGAGAAGAAGCCCCGGCUAACUUCGUGCCAGCAGCCGCAGUAAUAC